AUGAUUACAAAGAUACUCAGGAAAGAUGUCACAUUGUAGGCACUGAAAACAAAUGGAACUAUUCUGUAUUCAUGGCGUACCCUGUUUACAAGAGAGUCAAGUCUGAGAUAAGUAAAAUUUAGAUGAAAAUAAAGAGUACAAUAAAUGCAGCCAGAAAGGUAAUGAUGUAUCAAAGUAUUAAAUUUGCUAAUUUUUCAGUUUUAAGGGUUUUCCAACCAAACAUAUUUGUUCUCGUGUUUUACGCUUGUGUUGUUAAAAUGUCCAGAAAAGUUCUCUCUGAGCUACAUAAAUACCGGUUUAUUUUCUACAGUUCAAGAAAGUUUUUAAGAGGACUCUGCAAUGCGAAACUCUUGACCAUGACUUUUUUUGCACUGAGCAUAAAAACUCACAGAUUUUAAUAAAUAAAAGUAAUCUGCGUUGAUCACAGUAGAUGUGUUUGCUGCUAUGUACAUAAUACUAAUGACACUUUUUUUCAGACAAAGAAGCAAACAGUGAAGGCACUGGCAUCGUUACUGGAGUAAUUUGCUCAUGCUUGGUGGUGGUGGUGGUCGCUGCUGUAAUUUUAGUGUUCUUCCUGAGAAAGAGAAAUCGAGGUACAAAUGCCUCACCUAGCAAUGAUGGCAGGAAUGUAUCAAGUGAGAUAAAACUGCUGUAAGCCAAUAGACGUCAGGAGCAAGACACUGUUCUAAAAAUCCAGAAAGAAACGAUAUAAGAGAAACUGAUUAAAGGACGAUUUCAAGGAGGAGAACCAAGCGAGUUCACCAAACUCUUUACAUUUCUAGGGAACUGAAGGGAAGCCGCGGUUGACAAGGUUUUCAUAUGGAUAUCUGCUAACAGGCUGCAACCAGGUCAUACUGUUAAAGAAAAUGUGUGUCCGAAGACAUAUUGGAUUCUCUAACUCCCCAAAGAGUUUUAUACAUAUUUGUAUAUAGGCAUUAUUAAAUUUUUUUUUACUAAAGUACUCUGCAGACAGACUUACGUUUUGCCUUUUUUCCUUUCUUUCUGUCAAACCUAGUGAAACUCCAUUGACACUGGGCUGAUUUUAUGUAUUUAUAUUCUAAUAAGAUCUGUGACCCGUUUUAUUAGCAUCUUGCUUUGACCCCACAUCUCGUUUGGAAAUGUUUUUAUUCAGUUUUUAAAUGUAUUUAUAAUUUAUUAGAUUCUUUUAUGAAAACCAGAUGCCUUCUAGUGAUACUUGAAUAUCUGUUAAUAUUAAUAUAUGUAUUUAUAUAUGCAUCCAUGUUUGAAUGUAUUUAUGCAUAUAGGUAUGCAUGUUACAAAUUAAAAUGUUGUAACGGUCUCUCGUGGUGAGGUGUCACCUGUUGACGUAUCUGAUCCUGUUUGACCUGCCGGUCGGCCGUGCGAGUAGACUAUUCUAGCAAGUGCGUGAGCGAGUGUGACUGACACAAGCUUUGGUGCCUGGAAUGUUCGGUGCGAGAUAGUGCUUGUGUGACUAGUAGGUGCUGGGUGUUUCCAAAUGAUCUGUACCCUCGGACAUCUCGGAGACUCCUCUAAUUCGAGCAACUGUUAUAUGGUAAAUCUGGUUUUCCAUCUGGCCAUCAGGCGAAGCCCACGUUGUCUUGUGUAUAUUUUUGUGUGGAAUCACAGUGCCACCCUUAACAUGGUCAUUGAAAGCGAAGAAAUCUUCGAAGAGCUCCUCGUUUUCAUUGCAGGUGCCGAUGCCAUGUCUUUCCAUGAUGUGCUCCCUGCUGGUGUUAUCAUCUCUCACUUUAGCAUUUAGUUUUUUUCCAUGGUGAUUUUUAGAUCUCUUCUUGGUGUGUGGUCAAGCAGAGACUGCAAGGUGCUACAGAAGUCUUCUUUUUCUUCUUCCUC